GCCAAUUUCAAUCUCUAAAACAACAGAAAUGAAAUUGUGGUCAGUUGGAUAGCCAGACAUCCCUCAGCAUCCACUUCAGUCCAGAGCUGGAAUCUGGAGACAAGGGGAGAGAACAGCACAACUGCAAACCUUUAAUAAGAGUGCAGCACGUUUCCUUGGAGGCUCCAGAGCCCACAGGUCUGUCAUCAUGGCUAUCAGGGAGAAUAAGCCCCAGACCACUCCAGCAUGGUGGCACACGUGCUCAUGUGUGCUUAUUGCAUCUGGAUGUUCACAAGGAAUGAACAGAUAGAACUGAUUAUCAGAACUGGAAAAUAUGGCCUGGAUGAAAAGCUUGGCUGUAACCUGUAGCUUGGAGAAGAU